rnacentral:rRNA from 1 species
GACGAACGCUGGCGGCGUGCUUAACACAUGCAAGUCGAACGGAAAGGCCCUGCUUUUGUGGGGUGCUCGAGUGGCGAACGGGUGAGUAACACGUGAGUAACCUGCCCUUGACUUUGGGAUAACUUCAGGAAACUGGGGCUAAUACCGGAUAGGAGCUCCUGCUGCAUGGUGGGGGUUGGAAAGUUUCGGCGGUUGGGGACGGACUCGCGGCUUAUCAGCUUGUUGGUGGGGUAGUGGCUUACCAAGGCUUUGACGGGUAGCCGGCCUGAGAGGGUGACCGGCCACAAUGGGACUGAGGUACGGCCCAGACUGCUACGGGAGGCAGCAGUGGGGAAUAUUGCACAAUGGGCGGAGGCGUGCUGAAGCAACGCCGCGUGCGGGAUGACGGCCUUCGGGUUGUAAACCGCUUUCGCCUGUGACGAAGCGUGAGUGACGGUAAUGGGUAAAGAAGCACCGGCUAACUACGUG